rnacentral:pre_miRNA from 1 species
GCAUCAAAUUUGGUUGUUUUAGUACGACCUCUUUGAAACCCCUAUCACAGCCAGCUUUGAUGAGC